CACAGAUAACAAAUACAACUUGUUGCGUUUCCUUGUCACGCAUUCGUCACAGUGUCAUUCAAACACUGGACGGAAGUCUGAUAAGGGAUCGCUAAGGGAACUUCUUCAUGAUGUCAAG
rnacentral:pre_miRNA from 10 species